UACGUAGGGUGCAAGCGUUAAUCGGAAUUACUGGGCGUAAAGCGUGCGCAGGCGGCUUUGCAAGACAGAUGUGAAAUCCCCGGGCUUAACCUGGGAACUGCAUUUGUGACUGCAUGGCUAGAGUGCGGCAGAGGGGGAUGGAAUUCCGCGUGUAGCAGUGAAAUGCGUAGAUAUGCGGAGGAACACCGAUGGCGAAGGCAAUCCCCUGGGCCAGUACUGACGCUGAGGUGCGAAAGCGUGGGGAGCAAACAGG
rnacentral:rRNA from 1 species